rnacentral:rRNA from 1 species
CCUACGGGGUGCUGCAGUGAGGAAUAUUGGUCAAUGGCCGGAAGGCUGAACCAGCCAUGCCGCGUGAAGGUCAGUGCCCUAUGGGCGUUAAACUUCUUUUGUGCGGGAGCAAUAAUGGUCACGUUUGGCCAGACGAGAGUACCGUACGAAUAAGCAUCGGCUAACUCCGUGCCAGCAGCCGCGGUAAUACGGGGAGUGCAAGCGUUAUCCGGAUUUUUUGGGUUUAAAGGGUGGGUAGGGUGGGAGGUAAGUCCGGGGUGAAAUGCCCCCGCUCAACGGGGUGAAGUGCCAUUGAUACUGCCUGGCUGGAAGGCGGAUGCAGUGGGAGGAAUGUGGGGUGUAGCGGUGAAAUGCAUAGAUAUCACGCAGAACCCCGAUUGCGAAGGCAGCCUUCCGGCGCCCUACUGACGCUGAGGCACGAAAGUGCGGGGAUCGAACAGGAUUAGAUACCCGAGUAGUC